ACUGUUUUGGCAGAAUUAGUGCUAUAAAUUUAGGUUUUAUAAAUAUGAUUAAUUUAUUCAUAAUCAGUA
rnacentral:tRNA from 1 species